rnacentral:rRNA from 1 species
UACGAAGGGGGCUAGCGUUGCUCGGAAUUACUGGGCGUAAAGCGCACGUAGGCGGAUCCUUAAGUCAGGGGUGAAAUCCCGAGGCUCAACCUCGGAACUGCCUUUGAUACUGGGGAUAUCGAGUCCGGGAGAGGUGAGUGGAACUGCGAGUGUAGAGGUGAAAUUCGUAGAUAUUCGCAAGAACACCAGUGGCGAAGGCGGCUCACUGGCCCGGUACUGACGCUGAGGUGCGAAAGCGUGGGGAGCAAACAGG